rnacentral:rRNA from 1 species
GACGGAGGAGGCAAGCGUUGUCCGGAAUUAUUGGGCGUAAAGAGCGCGUAGGCGGUUUUCCAAGUCAUAUGUGAAAACUUUAGGCUUAACCUAAAGAUUGCAUGUGAAACUGGAUAACUAGAAUACGGCAGAGGAAAGUGGAAUUCCUGGUGUAGCGGUGAAAUGCGCAGAUAUCAGGAAGAACACCAGUGGCGAAGGCGGCUUUCUAGGCCGUUGCUGACGCUGAGGCGCGAAAGCUAGGGGAGCGAACAGGAUUAGAUACCCUGGUA